rnacentral:lncRNA from 1 species
UUGGAUAAACGAUAUUUGGACUUACCAUUUUAUAUUACUUGAAACGAUUCGGUACACUUGUCGAAGUUUUCGCCCAACACCUUAACCGACAUUCGAACGUCAGUGAGGUCUUAACCAUAUUUUGAAGUGCGGUUAAGGCCUUAUCGGCAUUUGAAAGCAGAUUGAGGCCUCACUGUAGUUCAAAACAAGGUCAGGCCUCAACCAGCUUUCGAAAGCUAACAAAAUCUUAACCUUACUUUGAAGUGCUUUUAAGACAUCGUCGAUGUUCGAAAGUCGGUUGUGGC